rnacentral:rRNA from 1 species
UGAAUACGAGACGCUACGGCGUCGAAGCAGUCUAUGUCAUACUUCCAAGAAAAGCUUGCACUGUCAUAAACAAAUAAUGCCUGUACCAUAACCGACACAGGUGGGUAGGUAGAGUAUACUAAGGGGCGCGAGAUAACUCUCUCUAAGGAACUCGGCAAAAUGACUCCGUAACUUCGGGAGAAGGAGUGCCUUAAGAAAUUAAGGUUGCAAUAACAAGAUCCAAGCAACUGUUUAUCAAAAACACAGGUCUCCGCUAAGUCGUAAGACGAUGUAUGGGGGCUGACGCCUGCCCAGUGCCAGAAGGUUAAAGAAGUCGGUUAGCAUUAGCGAAGCUGGUAACUGAAGCCCUGGUGAACGGCGGCCGUAACGAUAACGGUCCUAAGGUAGCGAAAUUCCUUGUCGGGUAAGUUCCGACCCGCACGAAAGGCGUAAUGAUUUGGAUUCUGUCUCGGAGAGGGACUCGGUGAAAUAGACUUGUCUGUGAAGAUGCGGACUACCUGCACCAGGACAGAAAGACCCUAUGAAGCUUUACUGUAACUUGAAAUUGAAAUUGGACUUUACUUGCGCAGUAUAGGUGGGAGGCGUUGAGAAUAUUCUUGCGGGAAUAUUGGAGCCAUCAGUGAGAUACCACUCUUGUAAUGUUAGAUUUCUAACUUUGUAUCAUUAUCUGGUCAAAGAACAGUUUCAGGCGGGCAGUUCGACUGGGGCGGUCGCCUCCUAAACGGUAACGGAGGCGCACAAAGGUUUCCUCUGAACGGGUAGAAAUCGUAUCUAGAGUGUAAAGGCAUAAGGAAGCUUGACUGUGAGACCUACAAGUCGAGCAGGGACGAAAGUCGGUCUUAGUGAUCUGACGGUGCUGAGUGGAAAGGCCGUCACUCAACGGAUAAAAGUUACUCUAAGGAUAACAGGCUGAUCUCCCCCAAGAGUUCACAUCGACGGGGAGGUUUGGCACCUUGAUGUCGGCUCAUCGCAUCCUGGGGCGGUAGUACGUCCCAAGGGUUGGGCUGUUCGCCCAUGAAAGCGGUACGCGAGCUGGGUUCAGAACGUCGUGAGACAGUUCGGUCCAUAUCCGGUGUAGGCGUUAGAAUAUUGAGAGGAGCCUUCUUUAGUACGAGAGGACCGAGAAGGACAUACCUCUGGUGUACCAGUUAUCGUGCCAACGGUAAACGCUGGGUAGCCAUGUAUGGAGAGGAUAACCGCUGAAAGCAUCUAAGUGGGAAGCCCACCUCAAGAUAAG